GGGCUUGUCGCUGGUUGGAUGGUGUUUAUGACAGUACAGCUCAAGAAAAAUAAACGCGUAAGCUCUAUGGCUGCAAGAACAUCACCCAGGAUCAUCAGACCUGCAGAGGGCGUCUCAGACCAAUUCAAGCAAGCAUCGACAGAAUGCUAGAUGGCAGAGGAAAUGGGAACUAAACACUUACGUCCCACAGCCGUGAUCCACUUAUUUCGCUGCCAAAUAAAGCAGGGACAAGUAGA